rnacentral:rRNA from 1 species
AUGAACGCUAGCUACAGGCUUAACACAUGCAAGUCGAGGGGCAGCAUGGUCUUAGCUUGCUAAGGCCGAUGGCGACCGGCGCACGGGUGAGUAACACGUAUCCAACCUGCCGUCUACUCUUGGACAGCCUUCUGAAAGGAAGAUUAAUACAAGAUGGCAUCAUGAGUCCGCAUGUUCACAUGAUUAAAGGUAUUCCGGUAGACGAUGGGGAUGCGUUCCAUUAGAUAGUAGGCGGGGUAACGGCCCACCUAGUCUUCGAUGGAUAGGGGUUCUGAGAGGAAGGUCCCCCACAUUGGAACUGAGACACGGUCCAAACUCCUACGGGAGGCAGCAGUGAGGAAUAUUGGUCAAUGGGCGAGAGCCUGAACCAGCCAAGUAGCGUGAAGGAUGACUGCCCUAUGGGUUGUAAACUUCUUUUAUAAAGGAAUAAAGUCGGGUAUGGAUACCCGUUUGCAUGUACUUUAUGAAUAAGGAUCGGCUAACUCCGUGCCAGCAGCCGCGGUAAUACGGAGGAUCCGAGCGUUAUCCGGAUUUAUUGGGUUUAAAGGGAGCGUAGAUGGAUGUUUAAGUCAGUUGUGAAAGUUUGCGGCUCAACCGUAAAAUUGCAGUUGAUACUGGAUAUCUUGAGUGCAGUUGAGGCAGGCGGAAUUCGUGGUGUAGCGGUGAAAUGCUUAGAUAUCACGAAGAACUCCGAUUGCGAAGGCAGCCUGCUAAGCUGCAACUGACAUUGAGGCUCGAAAGUGUGGGUAUCAAACAGGAUUAGAUACCCUGGUAGUCCACACGGUAAACGAUGAAUACUCGCUGUUUGCGAUAUACUGCAAGCGGCCAAGCGAAAGCGUUAAGUAUUCCACCUGGGGAGUACGCCGGCAACGGUGAAACUCAAAGGAAUUGACGGGGGCCCGCACAAGCGGAGGAACAUGUGGUUUAAUUCGAUGAUACGCGAGGAACCUUACCCGGGCUUAAAUUGCAGAUGAAUUACGGUGAAAGCCGUAAGCCGCAAGGCAUCUGUGAAGGUGCUGCAUGGUUGUCGUCAGCUCGUGCCGUGAGGUGUCGGCUUAAGUGCCAUAACGAGCGCAACCCUUGUUGUCAGUUACUAACAGGUUCCGCUGAGGACUCUGACAAGACUGCCAUCGUAAGAUGUGAGGAAGGUGGGGAUGACGUCAAAUCAGCACGGCCCUUACGUCCGGGGCUACACACGUGUUACAAUGGGGGGUACAGAGGGCCGCUACCACGCGAGUGGAUGCCAAUCCCCAAAACCUCUCUCAGUUCGGACUGGAGUCUGCAACCCGACUCCACGAAGCUGGAUUCGCUAGUAAUCGCGCAUCAGCCACGGCGCGGUGAAUACGUUCCCGGGCCUUGUACACACCGCCCGUCAAGCCAUGGGAGCCGGGGGUACCUGAAGUGCGUAACCGCGAGGAGCGCCCUAAGGUAAAACUGGUGACUGGGGCU